rnacentral:rRNA from 1 species
UACGUAGGUGGCAAGCGUUGUCCGGAUUUACUGGGCGUAAAGAGCGCGCAGGCGGUCGUUCAAGUCGCGUGUGAAAGCCCCCGGCUCAACUGGGGAGGGUCACGCGAUACUGAUCGACUCGAAGGCAGGAGAGGGUAGUGGAAUUCCCGGUGUAGUGGUGAAAUGCGCAGAUAUCGGGAAGAACACCCGUGGCGAAGGCGGCUCUCUGGGACGGUACUGACGCUGAGACGCGAAAGCGUGGGGAGCGAACAGG